rnacentral:rRNA from 1 species
UACGUAGGGUGCGAGCGUUAAUCGGAAUUACUGGGCGUAAAGCGCGCGUAGGUGGUUCGUUAAGUUGGAUGUGAAAUCCCCCGGGCUCAACCUGGGAACUGCAUUCAAAACUGACGAGCUAGAGUAUGGUAGAGGGUGGUGGAAUUUCCUGUGUAGCGGUGAAAUGCGUAGAUAUAGGAAGGAACACCAGUGGCGAAGGCGACCACCUGGACUGAUACUGACACUGAGGUGCGAAAGCGUGGGGAGCAAACAGG